rnacentral:rRNA from 1 species
AGACGCGUGGGGGAGGAGGCCUUUGGGUUGUAAACCCCUUUUGUUAGGGAAGAAAAAAAUGACGGUACCUAACGAAUCAGCCUCGGCUAACUCCGUGCCAGCAGCCGCGGUAAUACGGAGGAGGCAAGCGUUAUCCGGAAUUAUUGGGCGUAAAGCGUCCGUAGGUGGCCCGGCAAGUCUGCUGUCAAAGACCACAGCUCAACUGUGGAAAGGCAGUGGAAACUGCAAGGCUAGAGUGCGGUAGGGGUAGAGGGAAUUCCCAGUGUAGCGGUGAAAUGCGUAGAGAUUGGGAAGAACACCGGUGGCGAAAGCGCUCUACUGGGCCGCAACUGACACUGAUGGACGAAAGCUAGGGG